AUUGAACGCUGGCGGCAGGCCUAACACAUGCAAGUCGAGCGAGCGGCGGACGGGUGAGUAAUGUAUGGGGAUCUGCCCGAUAGAGGGGGAUAACUACUGGAAACGGUGGCUAAUACCGCAUACUAUCGGAUGAACCCAUAUGGGAUUAGCUAGUAGGUGGGGUAAAGGCUCACCUAGGCGACGAUCCCUAGCUGGUCUGAGAGGAUGAUCAGCCACACUGGAACUGAGACACGGGCAAGACUCCUACGGGAGGGAGCAGUGGGGAAUAUUGCACAAUGGGCGAAAGCCUGAUGCAGCCAUGCCGCGUGUAUGAAGAAGGCCUGAGGGUUGUAAAGUACUUUCAGCGGGGAGGCGUUACCCGCAGAAGAAGCACCGGCUAACUCCGUGCCAGCAGCCGCGGGAAUUC
rnacentral:rRNA from 1 species